CUGGCUCCCUAACCUCCCCGCCACGUCCAACCUCUAUCUCCAGGGCCCAGCGCGCAGCGGCCAAUUCCUGCCUCCCCUCCCCGCCCCCACCCCUCCCCCACUCCUCCCCAAUCUUCUGCGUCACAAAACUUUCCACUCCGGAAACGCAGCCUCCCCGGCUGCGGCGCAGGGCCCCCGGACCCUGCGGAACCUGGGCUGAAGCGAAAAAGCCAGCGGAAGGAACCCGGGAAAAAACAAGAAACCCAUUCCAUCCUCCUUUCCAGGCCUUCGCCCGCCCGAGACCCGCCGUCUCCCGGAGUUCUCGGGGAUAACGGGCUCAGCUGCGAAGUUCUUCCUUGAGCAUCUGAAUUUGGUUGUGGUCAGAUGGUGGAUAAAGCUGGACUUAUCUGAAUCUUCUUUCGUCACAUGUCUGGAGUGUCUGGAGUGGCUGGAAAACAGCUUCCUCACAAGACGGAGUCUUACUGUAGCACCCAGGCUGGAGUGCAGGAGCACGACCUCGGCUUACUGCAACCUCGACCUCCUGGACUCAAGUGAUUCUCCUGCCUCAGCCUCCCAAGUUGCUGGGAUUACAGGCUCACGUCACCACACCUGGUCCCCCUAUGUUAUUGGGGACAGAAUUGUGCCCAGACAAGAAAAUGAUGUUUCCCAGCCUCCCCUGCAGCUGAGUGGGGACAACCAUUGAGAUAUUUCCUUAGAAGUUUCCAGAGCUGAAUUCUGACACGGACCAGAUAUCCCUGGAAUUCUCUCCUCAGCAGGAGGUUACUUCAAGGCUGGAGUUCACUCUCAGCUAGAGAUUGACUGCGAUUGAUUUGUGAGCUGCGUGGACUCAUGAUGGUGCUGGCCCCUUCAGCAGAUGGAACAAUAAUUCAAAAGAAGCCAUUGGAGCGAGACAUGCCACCUGGUACCUCCUAGCCCCCCGUGCCUCUUCUGCAGUCCAAGCCCCUCUUCUUAAACCAGGGCCCCCUCUCCAGAAAUUGGAAAAUGGCAAUUUUUGGAAAGGAUUCUGGCCAGCCUUUCCUUGCUAGCAACGGAUAAUGAAAUUUACUUUCUUUUUAACACACCUUGCUCUUAUUUUGGCUUCUUUCUGCAAGUGGCAAGCAACCUGACCCUCUUUCGGUUACAAGUCUCAACGAAAUGGAAUGGGAAUGAUAGUAAGAAACAGGAUUUCAGCACAAAUAUGGUCAUGUGAUUGUAGCACUCUUUUUUUUUUUUUUUUUUUUCUGAGACCGAGUCUCACUCUGUCACCCAGGCUGGAGAACAGUGGCAUGAUCUCAGCUCACUGCAACCUCCACCUCCCAGGUUCAAGUGAUUCUCGUGCCUCAGCCUCCCGAGUAGGUGGGAUUACAGGCACCCGCCAACAUGUCCGGCUAAUUUUUGUAUUUUUAGUAGAGACGGGGUUUUGCCAUGUUGGCCAGGCUGGUCUCAAACUUCUGACCUCAAGUGAUUUGCCUGCCUCAGCUUCCCAAAGUGCUGGGAUUACAAGCGUGAGCCACCG
rnacentral:lncRNA from 10 species